rnacentral:lncRNA from 1 species
UAACUCACAAUCCCAAACUCUCUUCCUUCUCUAUUCUUUCUCUCUCUAGAUUAAAAACCCCAUUGGACACCAAGCUAGUGGAGGAUUUAAGGGCUGAAAAGAUCCAAGUUUCUCCAUAAAUCUUCAUCAAUUAGUAAGGUAUGAGAUUCCUUUCACCUCUUUCCUCAAAAGGUUUUAAUAAAUUGAUUUCAAAAAAUUUGUUUUUCAAGUGUGUUUUCAUCCAAUACGAAUUUGAGCUUGUGAAUUGAUUUGUUUAUGAUUUUUUUGAAUAUUAUCAAUAUACUAACACCUUUAGUUAACUGAAAAAAAAAAGAUAUUAUUUUAAAUUCUUAAAACAACUGGAUCACAUCAACUCAGAACAAAUUUCCAGCAAAUAAAAUCGCAAAAAACAAAGGAGAAAAAUAUGCAACUUCUUGCAAGGAGAACACAGACCACUAACCCAUUUAAUUUCAUGAAUAAAUAAGAAAUCCAAUGUGAGUUUUACAGUAAUAAAAAGAAAAGAAAUAGCAACUUUCUUAGAAUAAAAUUUCUCACAUUAUCACAAUUGUAACAACCUGCUAACAUAAAACCAUAAAGCAUAGACGAACUUCAGAAUUAAGACACAUCUAAGAUGCGUGAGAACUACACACAUAAUGGACGAAGCAACUAAAAAUUGACCAUGGGAGAAUGAGGACUCAAAUCAAGAAGGGAUCCAUUGAAAGCAUGGUUAAAAGUGGAAAUUCUCUCCUGUUGUGCAACAAAUAGGGACUGGCGAGCAGAUAUGAGCUGACUUCCACCAACAAAGUUCUAAAACGACUCUAAUGGCUAAUCCUCUUAUCCGUUGUUCUUGAGAAAUCUUAGCAAUGGUUUCUACCUAAAUCUUUAAUGUUCUUUCUAUUUUAUCGCUCAAACUUCACCCUAAAAGAAAAAUUUUUUACUCUAUAUCAAAACAAAUUCUCCUCUAAAGCAAAAAAAGUAAAUAAAAUAAAUAAAUUCCCCCUCAAGGGAGAAAUGAGAUUAUUUACAGAAGAAGAUUUAGGGUUUUCUUGGGCAGGAAUCUGGGGAAAUUCAGAUAAGAACCAAGGUAAAAAAAAUCUGAAUUCAUUUCGAAAUUCAAAUCCCUCCACAGGACAAGGAAAAUCUAUAUUUUCUUUACGAAAGAUUCGUCAAUUUUAAGCAAAAAAAACAAAAGAAGAAAGGGACGUAGGCGGCAUAGAUCAAUCGAUCGUCCCUGCGCCUUGACAUGGCGCCCAUCCACGCGAGCCAAGGACGAUUUCCACGGCUGUAUUGACUGAGAAACAGUUGGAUUUGGGAAAAACUGCUCCAACUCGUACCAUCUCGAAAAGGAGACUAGUCGCAUUGAAGCGCGUUGCUAAUUCACGCAUCAAAGGGGAGAAAUGCGAACACAGGGGAGGGGUUGAGCCAUGGAGGAACGCGCACCGCUGCUACGUAACGCGUGAAGAACGCGAUGCUGCCUCUGACUUCUUAUCUCUAGCAUCGCAGAAUUCAUUUUGGUGAUGAGCAAAAGGGAUUUGGAUCGGGUUGACAUAAUGUUGGGCCCAAAAUUGGGCUGGGGUUGAAUGGAUUAAUUAUUGGAAGAGUGGGCUGGGAAAUUGGGAUAUUUCAAUGAAGCCGUUGGGCUGAAAAAUUUGGGCUGGCUGCAGUAGAAGGGAUUUGGAAUUGAGCUGGAGAACUGGCUGAGGAUGUGGAGUGAGUUGCUGAAAAAAAUUGAGAGAAAACCCAAAAUAUAUUUUUUGCAAAGUGUUUUUUGAUAGUAGGUAAAUAAAAAAUGAACUGAUAAAAAUUAAUUAACAAGCUUCUUACGUUUGACGAAAUAAAGUAAUCGACUUAAUUAAGAUGUAAUUAAUCCGAAAGUGUAAACUAAUUUAGUAAAGUAUUGAACCCAAAAUAAAAUCCUUUUGAGACGAUUUUCAAAUAAUCACAAAAUAUACUAGUUAUAUACAUAACUAAGUAAAAUACAUACUCUAUCUAAAAAAGGUGAUGAGAUUAAUUAAAAUUAACUUAAAAUAUUUUAAACUUUAUAAAAUCUAAUUAUUUUUAAAAUCGGUUAGAAUUAAGAAGCUCGUUGAUUGAUUAUUAUCGUGGAGGGCCAAAAUUGAGUGUCAGCAACUGUCCCUCAUUUUUUUUGAAUUGAUACAAGAAAUUCGAGGAAAAUGAAGUUGACCAAACAGAUUUUAACCGACCACAUAUAUAUUCUUAAAAAAAGGAUUUGGCUAGGAAUUCAAGAGUUAUGGCCGAACCCCAAAACGAGUUUCCUGCAUAUCUUAGGAAAUAUGAGAAUUCAGGUCACUUGUAGUUCAAUACGCUUGAGUUAAGACAUGAUUUUGAAAGAAUUCACAAGUCAUCUCGACACCAAAUUAUGAAGGGAUCGAAAUGCUCGUGAGUAAUAUUCAAGAGCGAGAGUUGGAAUACAGUUGAGUUUUCAACAUUGAGCUUGCCUACAUAUCCUUAAACUCAAGGAAUCAAGCUGCUUGUAGUUCAACUCAAACAGUUGAAAAGGAAAUCUAUUAUGCUAGAUAACCUUUAGUUCAUGACAAGUGACAAAUUAAGUCGAGUGUGAAAAGGAGGUGUGUAACCUCUUAGUCAUGAAUGUGGUGCUCUUUACACCCAUAAAUAAAAACUUACACGGACAUUAUAAUCUUAUAUUUUCCAUAGUUUCCAUCCAAUAUUAUAAAUAGUCAUAGUUCAUUUUAAUCUAAAUCUAUUUUUAAAUCGUAUAUAUCUAUAUCUAAUUCUUGUAAAUCUAUUUCAUACCAUUCUUUAUUUAAUAUAUCUUCUAUAUCAUGAUCAAAUAUUUUUCCCAUAUAAUUCUUUUUAUGUCAACAAUUUCUAUAUCUUUAACUAUAUAUAAGAUCAAAGUUUUAUAGCUUUUUAUUUCAUCAUACAAUGUAAUCAUGUUUAUUUAUUUAUUCAGGUUUGUUUUCAAUUAUUCCUUCCUAUCAUAUCAUAAUUCAAUUAAAUUCAUAUUAGUUUAUUUUAAACUAGAGUAUCAUUAUCAUGUUUUUAGGUCACUACUAGUAUCGUACUUUAGCAGAUAAUUAUUGCUUAUCAGCGCCUCAACCUUGUGUACUCCCCUAACGGCAUCCCCCGCCUACCGGUUUCCACUGUGGGAUGACAUAGUCUAGCAGUUUUCUCCCUGUUUCCCGUUUACUAGCAAACUAGAAUUCAUGAUUCAAAUAUUUCUACUAUAUAUUCAAUAACAUAAAUUUAAUCAAUCAUAUAUGAUAUUCAGGAAUAUAUGAAAUUAGUUCUGCAUAAUUGUUAAACAAUAUACCUUUGUCUCUUGAUUUUCCAUGCUAUCUAAAAUAUUUGACUUGAUUUCGGAUUUCUCCAUUUUUAACUUAGUCUAUAUCUUUUGUCGAGAGAGGUUUUUGAAAGGCUUUUUAUUAACUUAAGCUUUUGUUUGGUCUUGCCUGCCUCUCAUUUACAGUUUGGCAAUCUAUAUAUACUAAAUUCUAAACCUACACAUAAUUGUGCCUACUGUAUACUUACGACUAUUUUACAAAACUUUACAAAUGACCGCUAUACAUUGGUCUAUUAAAAAGUAAAAGCUAUAUACAAAGGAAUCUUAUCUUUUUGCUUUUAUCUUUGUCUACCACUUAUCUUUACAUAAUUUCAAACUUUCUUUUUAUCUUGUCUACCACCUUAUGUCCUUUGUUUGUAUCUGCUUUUGUCCUUGUUAUCUUUAUCUCUUUUUCUCCUCCAUCUUUUAUGAUUAUCUAUUUUUCUUUAUUCCAAAUCAACAUCUGGUAUAACCUUAUCUUCUCCAUUGCAUUUGAAACAUCUAUGAUAUGGAUAUUUGUGUCCAAUAAGUUUACAAUAUCUAAUUAAUAAGUCUUCUGAGAUAAAUUCUUUCUUUAAUGCUUGUGUUGUAGGUUGUUCCUCUGUCUUUAAUAAUGAAAAAAUUCAUCGCUGAACUUCAUCCAUAUCUGCUCUUCUUAAUUCCCUUGAGUUUGAAUUUAUCAUAACAUGAUCUCUAGAGUAAUAACUCCAUAUGGCAUUUUCAUUUAAAUAAUUAUUUGCUAAUUCUUGUAUGAUAGUUGAUACACCAAUUAUUCUUUUACUGGCAUAAAAACCUGGUAUUUCUAUCUUUGGUAUUUCAUUCUGAUGUCCAAUAUCUUCUGGUAUGAUCAUACCUUUUGUCAAUCCUAUCUUAAUAACAUGAAUUGGAGAUUUUACCUCCUCAUAUAAUAUUUCUGCUGGUGCUGUAUACAACUUAAUAUAAAAUAAGUUUCCUUUUGUAACUCUUUUAUGUGUAAUAAAUGCUUUGUAUAACUCUGGUAUUCCACUAAUUUCUUCUCCAUCAUAUGUAUAUACUGUACUUAGUAAUCCAUAAUUGUAACAUGUCUUAACUAGAUUAGCUUUUUUUUUUGUGCUCUAAGUCUAUUGUAUAUUUGUAAUUUUUGAGUUAUAUAGUCUUGACUUGGAUCUUUGGUUUGGUUACAUCUGGGUAGAGAAUUAAAUAAGUUUGGAUUCUAUAUAUCUUUUCAAUGUAGGUUUGUGUAAUAUAAUUGUAUCUUUUCUUUCACUCUGGUUUUGUAUACUCACUGCACAGGUAGAAGUUUGUGGUUCUAUGAGUAUUUGUUUUGAUGUAAUUUGAAUAAAUGGUUUUACAAAUAACUGGUUUAAAUUUGUAUUUCGUAGUUUUUCACUAACUUUUCUGCUUGUACCUGCAGCUGUAUUUAAAAAAACAUUAUGAUUUUUAGGGAUUUUUCCAUCGUCUCCUUUUAUCUCAGGAAUGUUACCGUCUUCUGAUCGUCGUAGCUCCGCAUUUUUAUAGUCAUGCUGCUGACUUAUAUUAGCUUUAGACUUCAGGUUAUCUUCAUUAGUCUUUAGCUUUUGUAUCUCAUUGUCCAUACUAUCCACUAUAGUACAAAGUGUAGUAAUGGCUUUAAGUCACUUUGUAAUUGUAUCUUCGUCUUUGUUCUUAGUCUGAGUAGCUUUGUCUUGAUAACUAGUUUGCAACACCAUUCUUAUUAGUCUUUAUCAAUUCAAUUGUAAAUGUAAAGUUUAAUAUAUUUAAUACCAAUCUUCUAAUUUCUUUUAUUGUUACUGAAUUUUGUAUUUUUCUGGUUAACCACCAUUUUACUUGUGUAUUAUCUGUUCUCACAAUAAAUUUGUUAUAUACAAUAUAUGGCUCAAAUGCUAAUAAAUAUUUAUACACUGAAAAUAAUUCUUUCCUAUGAUCAUAUCUUUUGUCAAUCCUAUCUUAAUAACUUGAAUUGGAGAUUUUACCUCCUCAUAUAAUAUUUGCGCUGGUGCUGUAUAAAAUUUAAUAUAAAUUAAGUUUCCUUUUGCAACUCUUUUAUAUGUAAUAAAUGUUUUGUAUAACUCUGGUAUUCCACUGAUUUUCUUCUCCGUCAUAUGAUUAUACUGUACUUAGUAAUCCAUAAUUGUAACAUGUCUUAACUAGAUUAGCACUAGUUUUUGGUUGUGCUAUAAGUCUAUUAUAUCCUUAUAACUUUUGAGUUAUAUAGUCUUGACUUUGAUAUUUUGUUUGGUUAGAUCUCGGGUUGAGAUUUAAAUGAGUUUGGAUUAUAUAUAUUUUUUAAUGUUUGUUUGUAUAAUAUAAUUGUAUCUUUUCUUUUCACUCUAAUUUUGUAUACUCACUACAUACGUAGAAGUUUGUGGUUCUAUGGGUAUUUGUUUUGGUGUAUUUUGAAUAAAUAGUUUUACAAAUAACCGGUUUAAAUUUGUAUUUCGUGAUUUUUCACUAACUUUUCUGCUUGUACCUGCAGCUGUAUUUAAACAAACAUUAUGGAUUUUAGGGAGUUUCCUAUCGUCGCCUUUUAUCUCAGGAAUUUUACCGUCUUCCGAUCGAAGUAGCUCCGCAGUUUUAUAGUCAUGUUGCUGACUUAUAUUAUCUUUAGACUUCAGGUUAUCUUCAUUAGUCUUUAGCUUUUGUAUCUCAUUGUCCAUACUAUCCACUUUAUACAAAGUGUAGUAAUGGCUUUGAGUAGCUUUUCAAUUGUAUCUUCGUCUUUGUUCUCAGUAGUCUGAGUAGCUUUGUCUUAAUAAGUAGUCUGCAACACCAUUUUAUUAGUCUUUAUCACUUCAAUUGUAAAUGUAAAGUUUAAUAUAUUUAAUACCAAUUUUCUAAUUUCUUUCGUUGUUACUGAAUCUUGUAUUUUUCUUGUUAA